rnacentral:lncRNA from 1 species
CACUGGGACCCCAUGAGGCCCUCUCCACUCAGGCUUAUAAGACCCUGUGCAGCUUCACAGAGGAGGCAGCUGAGACCCAAGGGAUCAGGAUCAAUCAGGUGAUGAUGUUUGGAAAAUGGGAGAAGAAUACUCUGAGCAAAAAGAACAGUAAAUGUCACAGGAAAGUGCACUGAAGAGAGGUGUUGAACAGAAAUGACAGCAAAAGGGAGAUAGGAAGUGAUAAAAAUUGCGCUUGAUGAGGUGAACAAAGAUCAAAACACAAGAAUUGAAGUUUUGAGAUGUAAUUCUGAAGGCAGCGGGGGCUUGCUACAAAGCAUGCUGCGGGAGAACGAAGGCUGGGCUGCGUUAAAGACUGCCCCUCCUGAAGCCGUCACUCAUCAGAAUGGCUCCGAUGGCCACGCCUAUAAAUAGGGCAGUCCCGUAGCAGCAAGGUUAAUGUGGGUUGGUGAUUGUUUUCAUGAUUUAUCUUUCUUUUUAAAAUCUCCUCUAUACCUAGUCAUAGUGUUUGAUAUAUUUAUAGGCUUCCUUUCCUCCCCAGGAGAUCAAACUCACUGCACCAUCCUGUUAACCUUCACUUGGCAUCCCUAAAGGAGAUGGCGAGAUCACAGACCACUGCAGACAACAGAGCCAUCCCGCUUGUCACACUAAGGCUCUCUUCAGCUUGUGUUGCUAGGAGCUCAGAGACAACAUCUUCAUCAUGCCUCCAAGGCCCUGUGGCUGGGCUUCUGAGAGGAGAGGGCUGGAAGAAGUGUGCAUCAAUUCUGCUGACAUGCAUGGACUUGAUUUCAGUCACAGAGGUAAGGGUCUGACUCCAAAACCAAAGGUGACAAGAAGGAGUAAGGAUAUAA